UUCUAACAAACUUUGGAGCCUAUAUAAACAGGUAUUCACUGUAAUUUUGGGGAAGAUUCAUUCUGCAAAUUUUCAGAUAUGCAUUCUCACAUUCACUCGAUCCAUCUCACGUAACACCGGAGUUGUAGAGAAGAAGAAGAGCAUAGGGAAAGAGGAAGAGGAAUUCAAUACCUGCACCAUCACCGGAGAGCCACCACUUCGGAGAUUCGAAUUAGGGAGAUUUGGUGUUGAAAAUUAAGCUUGGAUCUGGAUUCGAUUUCACUCUUGAUUUUCGAUGAGAGUAAAGAAACAUGAAAUUGAAGAUGAAACAGGAGAAAUAUCAUAUGCUGAGGGGAUAUGUGUUGGCUUGCGUUCGCGUUUGGCUGAUUGGAGUUUGGGCCUGAUGCCCUAGCUGGCCCCAGUGUUUGUCAAAUUCAUACCAUUCUAAAUGAUGGUCUGCUGCAGAAUUGUUGGUGCACUUUAUUGUUGAUGUUGGGAUUUAUUGCAGAUUGUGUUUAUGAAGGAAAUGGAAAAAUGAAAGGAUGACUUGGUCUUGAAGAAACAAAAGGGAUUAUGGUUUAUGGGAUGUAGAAUAAGUGAGCUGACUUUGGUCAACUAGUUGACCAAAAAGUCAAUUGUUGGCCAAAAGUCAACUUAUGUAAAAAAUUGUCAUUUCUUUGUAAUUUCCUAUGAACAUGUAUG